UCUGUAUACAUAGUAUAAUUUUGGGGCAG
rnacentral:piRNA from 1 species